CGAACCCUCAGUUUUGAUAGAAGCCCUAAAACGAUACGUAACAAUAAAAGAAAAUUCGGCUGGCUGAUAUUUAUGAUCUAUUUAUCAAUGUUUUAUAAGUCGAUGAAGGCGUUAGAGGUUCUUGUCAUUUCUCAUCUUGAAGCUCAUCCUUGCAACUUCCAAGUCCGCGCCUCUGCAAUACCACUGUCGGCUGAAAUCUUUCAGCUGUGAAAACGUGAGCCGCAGCAGCACCAACGUGCACCCACAUUGUAGUUGAUAUUGGGCGGUGUUUUCUUCACAGUUGAUUUUCCCAGGGAGGCCAUGGGUUUCGACAACGAGAGUAUCAUUAAUAUUCAAUCACUCCCAGGAGAAUAUUUCUGUCCGGUUUGCCGGCAGCUAGUUUACCCUAAUGAAGCUAUACAAACCCAAUGCACACAUCUCUACUGCAAGCCUUGCCUAACUUAUGUGUUGAGUACUACUAGGGCCUGCCCUUAUGAUGGUUACUUGGUCACUGAUACAGAUUCAAAGGCAUUGCAAGAGGCAAAUCCAGUCCUGGCUGAUACUAUUGGCCGUGUACCAGUUCAUUGCCUGUAUCAUAAGAGCGGCUGUACUUGGCAAGGACCUCUCUCUGAGAGCAUUGCUCAUGGGAAUGGCUGUCAAUAUGGUUCAUCCCCUGUUGUUUGUAAUAGAUGUGGCACCCAGAUUGUUCAUCGACAAGUACAAGAGCAUGCUCAGAAUUGCCCUGGAACACAGGGUCAGGUCCCACAACAAGAAAGUGCUCCUCAGGCACAAUCUGCCGCAGCACAUCCUGAGCAGAAUCAAGUGGUACAAGCUGGUGGUCAACAAUAUGCGGCACAAACAACUGCCCAAGUCACACAAGCUCCGGUUUCUCAACCUACUCCAUAUGGCACGGGGCAAGAUCAACACCAGGGAAUGGCUGUGCCACAAACUGCUACCCAAGUUUCUGCUACUGACCAGUGGUAUCAACAACAAUAUCAACAGUACUACCAGCAAUAUCCACAGUAUGACCAAUAUCAGCAACAAUACCAACAAUAUGACCAGUAUCAGCAGCAAGUCCAGGCUCAACUGCAACAGCAGGUUCAACCCCAGGCACAGGUGCAAGCUCAGGUGCAGGCACAAGCACAGGCACAGCUUCAGGCCCAGGUGCAACCACAAGGCCAGCCCCAGCCACAAAGUCAGCAUCAUCAUCAGCCCCAUCCCCAGCCCCAGCCCCAGCCCCAGCCCCAGCCUCAGCCUCAGCUGCAGGCCCCGCCCCAUGCCCAUCCACAACUACAGCCUCAAGCACAAGCUGCACAUGCUUCUCAGCCUUAUCAACAGGGCCAAGGGCAAGCAGGUCUUAUGCCUCAGCAGGUACAACCUCAACACCAAUUAAUGCAACCCCAGUUACAUCAACUGAUGCCUAAUCAAUCACAACAGCUACCAAUGCAGCAACAUCCAAUGCCUGUGCAAUCUCAGCAACAGCCUUCACAACAAACCCAGCAACAUCCCAUUAAUUUGCAGCAGCAAUUUCAAUCAUCACAGCAGCCUCAAUUGCAACAACAACUUCCAUCAUCACAGCAACCUGCUCAUAUGCAGCAGCAGCAACCGGCUCUGCUAACUCAGCAACUUCCACAGCAGCAGCCACAACUACAACAGCACGCUCAACUACAUCAACAACAACAUCAACAAAUUGUGCACCAGCCACCACCACAGCAGCAACUAAUGUUACAGCAGCAGAUUCCUACACAGGUCCAGCAGCCACCCCAUGGGCCUGUGCAGCAGCAUCAACAAUUUCCAUCUCAGCAUCAUCAGUUGCCUCAACAGCAACAGCAACAGCAACAGGCACCAUUUUUCACUCAACCAAUUCAGACUCAACAACCCCAAAUGCAGCCUCCUUUCCAACAAGCAACAGCACAACCCUCUCAGAUGCAACCUCCCUUCCAACCAGGUCCUCAGCCAGCACAGUCAUUUCCUCAAGCCUAUUCACAAAGUGUGGGACAUAUGAAUGCUCCUCAACAGGUGGGCAGUAGGCCCCCCUUAACCCAGAACCAGGGGUUAUUACAGCAGCCCUUUCCACAAUCACAGGGAAGACCUCAUCCUUCACCAUAUGGUCAAACUGUUCGUGGUCCAACCAAAGCAUUACAAGCUGCGCCCAACCAAGUUCCAAUACCUAACCAAAAUGCACCACCAAGCCAGGCAUUCCUGCCAAGACAUGGUCAGCGGCCACAAAUGCCUCAUCAACGUCCCCCAGUUCAUCAAUCUGCAUUACCUCGUCUGAACAGCCAACAAUCUCUUGUGUCUGGUUCAGCUACCACACAAUCUAUGAGAAGUAGUGUCCAAACUUCUACCUCAUCUGGUGCCCCUAAGGUAUCUCCUGCAUUGGAGAAACCACAAGAAAUUAGUACACAAGAUAAAAUUUCCAAAACUUCGCAAAAUGAGCAUGGUCUGCAGACUACAAAAUCUGUUCAAUUGAAUGAAGUAAAUGAUGCCCCAGGGAAAAAAAAUGUUGUAGAAACUGUCAAGGCUGAAACUAUGAUGUCUGAUAAAAAAUCUGAACACAGUGAGCAACAGCUGGCCAAUGAAAAGGUGGAACAGAAAAAUCUUUCUAUAUCAGAGCCUGUUAAGUCUGAGGUUUCUGAUUCUUCUCAACAACAAAUGUCAACCAAAGAUUUACAAUUUGAGAAGCAUGAACCUAAUCUACAGCAGUCAGUUUCUCAGAAGAAAGUGCUUGAAGAUAGCUCUGAAAAAAAACCAGAGGUGAGUGUAGACAAAAACUUACAGGAGCCAACUGGGCAUAUGAGAGAUGCAAUUUCGGAACAUGCUCGUCAUCGUCAAGAUGGAAACAUGCAACAGUAUCCUCGCCAGGUGCAAGAGACAAAUUUCCUUCAAAAUGUUACUCAGAAAGUUCAAGAGCCACGACGAGUAGAUGAUAAAAGACAAGGUACUCGUUCUUCCCAAGACAAUCUGCAAUGGCAAGAAGGGAAUGUUUUACAACAGGUGUCACAAGGACAAGAUAAAAGCCUGCAACCACCUCUCCGACAAGGACUAAAUCAGGGGCAGGAAAAGAACUUAUUUCAAGUUCAAAGUUCUCGUCAAGGGCCAGUUCAAGGACAGGACAAGAGCUCACAGCAUACUUCCCGUCAAGGUUCUAUCCAAGGACAGGAUAGGAACUUACCUCCACCUCCUCGUCAGGGUCCAGCUCAUGGACAGGACAGGAAUCUGAUGCAACUUCCUCGUCAAGGGCAAAACCGUAGCUUCCAACAGCCUCUUCGUCAAGGGUCUGUUUCUGGACAGGAUAGAAGCUCUCAAUCAGCCCCUCAGCAAGGGCCAAUGCAAGGGCAAGAGAGAUCCUUGCAACAGCCCCUUCAAAAUGAAAGAGAUGCGCAUCAGAUAUCUAUGCAAGCACAAGUCCAAGGGCAUGAAAGGUUUCAGCCACCACGUCAAGGGCAACCACAAGGAGCACAGUUACCAUAUUCAGGCCAGCCACAAAAUGCUGAUAGAAAUUUCCCGCAAUUGCCAUAUCAAGGGCAGCUCCACAGCAUUCCUGAUCAAUUUCAUCAUUCGUCUUCAAAGCAGAGUGGCAUGCCUUCUAUGUCUCUGCUUCCACAAAAUCAACCGAGCAAUAUGUCAUCUUUUGCAAGGGGACAUGGUCAGGUACAGGCUCCACCUAAAAAUUUUGACAUGCCAUCACCUUCUCAUUUGCAUCAUCAACAGAUGGCCCCUCCUAGGUCUUCACAAGGAGAGUCAAUGCUUGGUUUGCCAUUGAGCUUAUCCUCAAGCAUGUCUCAUCAUCUAAGCUCAUUUGAAGGUCCAAGAGGUUUUAUGGACAGGAGCUUGCAAUAUGGUCAAACAUUACAGCAGUCACCUCUUUCAAAACCAAUGGACCAUAUGGACAUUUUGGGAAAUAGGAGGACUGAGGCUUUUGAAAAUAAACAGAAUGAUCCACAACAGCUAGCAGGAUCUAGGUUUUCGAUGACCCAGCCGUCAGGUCAGCAGACGAAUAUGAUGAAACCAAAUGGAGCAACUAACAAGGGGCAUAUAGAGGGAAUGCAGGCACCUGCAUUUCCUCCAAUUAUGGGAGAAGAAGGUAGCUUCAGGUCUAUGCAGCAUGAUUCCAGCAGACAGUUUCCUGACAGGAAAGAGUUUCAAGACAAUUCCAGAAAGUACAAGCCUGGACAGUUCGAUGCGCAGAUUCCAUCAAAUCCAGAUGAAAUGUUUCCUCUAAUUCGUCAUCAGAAGGGUCAGCCAGCACCCUCAUCAAAGUUUGAUCAAAUUAUUCCUACAUCAAGGCCUCUUGAAGGUGGGCCCCAUGGUUUCUUGCCUGAUUCUGUUUCAAAAUAUCCAUUUACUUCAGCAGGAAGUCCAUCUGGAGGCCCAUCAAGAUUGUUUCCUCCAUAUCAAUCAAUUGGUUCAUUUCCAACAAGUAGUGGUGUGCCAUCAAUGUUUAACUCGGAUAGUGGAGAUGGACCAAGACUUCCUGGGAUACAUGAGGAAAUGAUGGGUAGAAGACCCGAGUCAGGUGGAAUGAGGCCUGAUUUUAUGGGACCCAGGUCUGAAUUUGGCCGUAGUCGAUUUGAUGCCCUUGCUCCACCAAGGAGUCCUGGGAAGGAUUACAUGGGCAUGCCUUCUGGCAGGCCAAAUAUAGGUCCAUCUGGGGGUUUUGGACCUGUUGGAGGGCCUUCUCAUCUUUCACGUCCAAUAGAGGACAUGAAUAGAGACCCUCUUGGUUUUGAUGAGCAAAGAAAUAAAUCAUUUGGUUUUCAUUCUGGAGCCAUGCAUAAUGCAUUUCAGUCUGGACAACUUCCACCGGGUGUUGGAAACAGGUUCCCUCCAUUUCACUCUGGUCCAGCACCAGGUGCUCCUGGAGCAUUGCCCAAUCCUAUGAUGAUGGGUGAGCCGGUUGCUAAUUUCGGUGGCACCAUUCCUAUGCAGGGAUUUCCUGGUGAAAGUGGAUUUUUCAAGAAGCAAGGUCAAAUGCCAAAUGAUGUUGAGCCUUUGGAUCUAGGAAGGAAGAGAAAGCCAGGCAGCACAGGAUGGUGUCGAAUUUGUCAAAUUGAUUGCUAUACUGUAGAAGGACUGGAGCAACAUACACAAACAAGGGAGCAUCAGAAGACAGCUAUGGAUAUGGUUUUGAGCAUAAAGCAAGAUAGUGCUAAAAGGCAAAAGCUCUCCACGGAAGAUCCAACGUCUCAGGAAAAUGGAAAUAAAACAAAAAAGGCCAGUUUUGAGAGUCGUGGGAGCAGGCGCUGAUUUUGUGGUGAAUGGCUCUGUUGAUUAUAAGUGGCUAUUCAUUUCUAUGACAGUUGCAACUCCGUAAGUGCGUAAUUCUUUACCUUCACAGGGCUGAUUCUUGUCCAUCUGCAACAGAUCCUUUGAACUAAAGUUGCUGUUUCAAGUUGCUUUGAGGAUAUGAGCAUUGUGAGGAACGUAGCUUGUUAUGGUUGCUUAUAUCAUGAUUCAUAACCCAGCUUAUACAAUCAUGUUCCCUCACAAGCAUUUUCGACAUGAAGAGCCCUCUAGACUCUUGAGCUUUUCAUCUGUUAAUAGAGAAACUCGAUCGUGUAAGGUUGGCGACGAAAGGAGCUGCUCAGGCAAGAAUGGUUGCAGUUGGUGCCUUCACACAAUCGGAGGGGAAGAUUAUAGUGUUUUGGGGCCUUCUUCUGCCUUCAGAUUAACAGGUCUCCUCAUGAUAACUUCAAUUACUGAUUCUUGCACAUUUCCACUAAUGACAUAGUUUUGCAGCAAUAUCGAAAGAGAUUAUAUGUUGAAGCUCUUUUCUCCUUUCGAUUUUGAUUAAAAUAUUUAUUACCUCAGGUGAAUGUGUCUGAAUUACUUUUUAUCUUCAACUUCUAAGUUUCAUGUACCUAAGAAGGUUGUUGGCCAUGCAUUGUUGCCUCUCUUACCAUAGAAAUGUCUACUUUUAAUUAUACCCAACUAUAGAUUUUACGAAAAUAUUUCGCUUUCUCCAUCAAGAAACAGUUACAUAGAUUUUUAUCAUAGUCACCAUCUGCCUGUAAGAUGGCUUAUUUGUAGAAGCAAGAACACUGCUGCCCUGAGUGCAAGAUGACCAUUGGAUGUCUUGACAAGAGCAUAAUUGACGAGAAACUGUUAGAUGGAUGAGCCCUUCCAUAGUAAAUGUAUCCUGUUUAUUUUUUUGACAGCC